rnacentral:rRNA from 1 species
AGUGAACGCUGGCGGUAGGCCUAACACAUGCAAGUCGAACGGCAGCACAGUAAGAGCUUGCUCUUACGGGUGGCGAGUGGCGGACGGGUGAGGAAUACAUCGGAAUCUACUUUUUCGUGGGGGAUAACGCAGGGAAACUUACGCUAAUACCGCAUACGACCUACGGGUGAAAGCAGGGGAUCUUCGGACCUUGCGCGAUUGAAUGAGCCGAUGUCGGAUUAGCUAGUUGGCGGGGUAAAGGCCCACCAAGGCGACGAUCCGUAGCUGGUCUGAGAGGAUGAUCAGCCACACUGGAACUGAGACACGGUCCAGACUCCUACGGGGGGCAGCAGUGGGGAAUAUUGGACAAUGGGCGCAAGCCUGAUCCAGCCAUACCGCGUGGGUGAAGAAGGCCUUCGGGUUGUAAAGCCCUUUUGUUGGGAAAGAAAAGCAGCAGGUUAAUACCCCGCUGUUCUGACGGUACCCAAAGAAUAAGCACCGGCUAACUUCGUG